GUGCCAGCAGCCGCGGUAAUACCGGUGGCUCGAGUGGUGGCCGCUAUUAUUGGGUCUAAAGGGUCCGUAGCCGGCCUGAUAAGUUACCUGGGAAAUCCGGUGGCCUAACCAUCGGGCGGCCAGGUAAUACUAUCAGGCUCGGGACUAGGAGAGACCAGAGGUACUCAUGAGGUAGGAGUGAAAUCCUGUAAUCUUAUGAGGACCACCAGUGGUGAAGACGUCUGGUUAGAAUAGGUCCGACGGUGAGGGACGAAGGCUGGGGGCGCAAACCGGAUUAGAUACCCGGGUAGUCCCAGCAGUAAACGAUGUCAGCUAUGUGUUGCUGGAACCAUGGGUUCCAGCAGUGCCGAAGGGAAGCCGUGAAGCUGGCCACCUGGGAAGUACGGUCGCAAGGCUGAAACUUAAAGGAAUUGGCGGGGGAGUACCACAACCGGUGGAGCCUGCGGUUUAAUUGGAUACAACGCCGGGAAUCUUACCGGAGGGGACAGCAGUAUGAAGGCCAGGCUAAAGACCUUGCCAGAUCAGCUGAGAGGAGGUGCAUGGCCGUCGCCAGUUCGUACCGUGAGGCAUCCUGUUUAGUCAGGCAACGAUCGAGACCCGCAGUCUUAUUUGCCAGCAUGCCCUUUGGGGUG
rnacentral:rRNA from 1 species